UCCCAGCGCGCGUGCGCCCCUGAAGGCGGGUUCCGGUGGCAGCGCCGGGGUCUCAGACCCUGAGGAGACUGAGCCCAGCGCCAGGCGACCGGUCCCCGCCGCCGCCGCCCCUGCGCGGGAGAUCCCCCCUGCUUAGUCCGCGCCCGAGCCCCCGUCCGUGGGAACAGACAAGGGGCCUCCGCAGCGCCUCACAACCCCCGACCAGGUCCAGCGGCGGGGGACUCGGCCGUGGAGGGCGCUGUUCGGUCUGGAUGGCUCCCCCCAUCAGCGGGAGGCUACACCCCCCACCAGCAGGGGCAAGAGGAGCAGCGGGAUGGGAGCAGGCCAACGUCCUGCGGCCUGGUUGAGCUCGCACUGACAAUCGCAGGCCCAGUAACCCGCAGGUCACCGCGCUCCCCACCUGCGUUGCUGACGGUGACAUCGUCAGGGGAGGGGGGCGCGCCUUCCCAGAGGCUCAGGUCGCGAGGGUAGCCGGGGUCCGGGCGCGCCGCCGCCUCGUCGUAGCGCCAGUACUGCCGGCCGCGGACCAGCGCUAAAAGUGCCAGGGCCUUGCCUGGUGGCUCAGACCUGUAAUGCCAGCACAUUGGGAGGCUGACACCGGAGAAUCACCUGAGCCAGGAGAUUGAGCCCAGCCUGGGCAAUAUAGUGAGACUCCAUCUCUACAAAAUAAUAAAAUAAAUUACUAGCAAGGCGUGGUGGCAUGUGCCUGUGGUCCCAGCUACCAGGGAGGCUGAGGUGGGAGGAUCGCUUGAGCCCAGUAUUUUGAGGCUGCAGUGAGCCAUGAUCACACCACUGCACUGCGGCCCAGGCAACAAAGCAAGACCCUGUCUCAAAGAAGAAAAAAGUUCCGCUUCCAGGGUAAGCCCACAGCCCCAGUGGGUCACUGGAAGUGGGCAGGAAACCAACAUAUAUGAGGCCAAGUGAAAUGACUCACCUUUGAAGAAGAAAGUUUCCCCUCGGAUGUUGGCGAUGGCGUCAAAAUUGCCCUCACAUCGAUCAGGGAUGGGGAAGGAUGGGCUGGGGAGGAAAGGAGAGGUGAGUAGAGAGGGGGGUUUGUUUUCUCCAAGGCAGGGACCCCCACCAUCCCCAUCUCAGAGGACACUGAGGCUGGGCAGCUGGUCACCCAAGGUCUCCGAGUUGGUGGGGGACUCACCUGUGUGUGGGCGAGGCCGGGGGCUGGGGCGGAGGAGCCAGGGGUUUCCUUGUGGGCUUGUCAUAUGGGGUUUGGGGCGCCUUCCCUGUGAGGAAAGAGUCAGGCAGGUGUGCGUCCCCUGGCCCUGCUGCAGAGGACACUGGAUGGGGCAAUGAUGGUUUCGCGGCAGGUCCCUCUCCCC
rnacentral:lncRNA from 1 species